AUUGAACGCUGGCGGCAUGCCUAACACAUGCAAGUCGAACGGCAGCACGGGGCAACCUGGUGGCGAGUGGCGAACGGGUGAGUAAUGCAUCGGAACGUACCUUUGCGUGGGGGAUAAAGUAGCGAAAGUUACGCUAUUACGGCUUAUUCUGUGAGCAGGAAAGCAGAGGAUCGCAAGACCUGGCGCUGAUUGAGCGCGCGAUGUCAGAGUGGCUAGUUGGUGAGGUAAAGGCUCACCAAGUCGACGAUCUGUAGCGGGUCUGAGAGGAUGAUCCGCCACACUGGAACUGAGACACGGUCCAGACUCCUACGGGAGGCAGCAGUGGGGAAUUUUGGACAAUGGGGGCAACCCUGAUCCAGCCAUGCCGCGUGAGUGAAGAAGGCCUUCGGGUUGUAAAGCUCUUUCGGCCGGGAAGAAAUCGCACAGGCUAAUACCCUGUGUGGAUGACGGUACCGGAAUAAGAAGCACCGGCUAACUACGUGCCAGCAGCCGCCGUAAAAC
rnacentral:rRNA from 1 species